ACUCCUACGGGAGGCAGCAGUGGGGAAUAUUGCACAAUGGGCGCAAGCCUGAUGCAGCCAUGCCGCGUGUGUGAAGAAGGCCUUCGGGUUGUAAAGCACUUUCAGCAGUGAGGAAGGCGGAGUCGUUAAUAGCGGCCUCGUUUGACGUUAGCUGCAGAAGAAGCACCGGCUAACUCCGUGCCAGCAGCCGCGGUAAUACGGAGGGUGCGAGCGUUAAUCGGAAUUACUGGGCGUAAAGCGCAUGCAGGUGGUUUGUUAAGUCAGAUGUGAAAAGCCCGGGGCUCAACCUCGGAAUAGCAUUUGAAACUGGCAGACUAGAGUACUGUAGAGGGGGGUAGAAUUUCAGGUGUAAGCGGUGAAAUGCGUAGAGAUCUGAAGGAAUACCGGUGGCGAAGGCGGCCCCCUGGACAGAUACUGACACUCAGAUGCGAAAAGCGUGGGGAGCAAACAGGAUUAGAUACCCUGGUAGGAUAGCG
rnacentral:rRNA from 1 species